rnacentral:rRNA from 1 species
AUACGUAGGUGGCAAGCGUUGUCCGGAUUUAUUGGGCGUAAAGCGAGCGCAGGCGGUCCUUUAAGUCUGAUGUGAAAGCCCCCGGCUCAACCGGGGAGGGUCAUUGGAAACUGGAGAACUUGAGUGCAGAAGAGGAGAGUGGAAUUCCAUGUGUAGCGGUGAAAUGCGUAGAUAUAUGGAGGAACACCAGUGGCGAAGCCGGCGCUCUGGUCAGUAACUGACGCUGAGGCUCGAAAGCGUGGGGAGCAAACAGGAUUAGAUACCCUGGUAGUCCACGCUGUAAACGAUGAGUGCUAAGUGUUGGAGGGUUUCCGCCCUUCAGUGCUGCAGCUAACGCAUUAAGCACUCCGCCUGGGGAGUACGGCCGCAAGGCUGAAACUCAAAUGAAUUGACGGGG